AGAGCGAACGCUGGCGGCAGGCUUAACACAUGCAAGUCGAGCGGGCGUAGCAAUACGUCAGCGGCAGACGGGUGAGUAACGCGUGGGAACGUACCUUUUGGUUCGGAACAACCCAGGGAAACUUGGGCUAAUACCGGAUAAGCCCUUACGGGGAAAGAUUUAUCGCCGAAAGAUCGGCCCGCGUCUGAUUAGCUAGUUGGUGAGGUAAUGGCUCACCAAGGCGACGAUCAGUAGCUGGUCUGAGAGGAUGAUCAGCCACAUUGGGACUGAGACACGGCCCAAACUCCUACGGGAGGCAGCAGUGGGGAAUAUUGGACAAUGGGCGCAAGCCUGAUCCAGCCAUGCCGCGUGAGUGAUGAAGGCCCUAGGGUUGUAAAGCUCUUUCAGUAUCGACGAAGCGCAAGUGACGGUAGGUACAGAAGAAGCACCGGCCAACGUACGCGCCAGCACGCCGC
rnacentral:rRNA from 1 species